GCAAAUAUCUUACUCCUAUUAUAAAGAAAACACUAAGAACUUAAUUUAGGCUUUUAGAACAUUCUAUCUUCCUUCUACCAUUAUCAACAACUGAAUGAGCUACCAUUUGCUUCAGGUGCAAGCUUUACUUGAGGUUCUGCCAAAAAAAAAAAUAAAUAAAUAAAAAUUGAUAGGUGACAUAUUAAAGGAACUUUGAAUUAGCAAGCAGAGAUUGGUUGAAUUGGGCUCACGAACGGGGGCUACCAAACAAAUGCUGCUUGAUAUUCUUGAGGACAUACAUGAAAUACGACGUAUUUGUAUUAUGUGAAGAAAUUGUACCCUUCAGAAAAAUGAUGAGAAGGAAUGCUCUGUUCCUUGGAAAAGCAUAUGGCUGAGGAGGAGGAAGAAGAAAUUGAAAUGCUUUUAUAAAAAUAUCUCCAAAGGUGUGAAUCUUGUCAUGGUCAGGCAGAGAGGCUUCUUGAUUCAGCGAAAUGGAAGAUUCCAUUGCAGUCAACCUUAGCUCUCGGAGGCUUGAGGUAAGCAGAGUGGAACUUCUUCUUCAGGUUAGGACAUUUUGUAUUGCAGUUGGUGCUUUGUUGCAAGUAACGAGCUCUCUGAGUAAACUAAAAUGAUCAUUUCUUGAAUGAUUAGCAGCUUUCUUUUUGUUAAAUUUCAUGUACAUGUACUGUUAGGAUACUUGACAUGUCUGUAACUCUUUACUUUAAGAACAAUGUCAUAGCAUACAGAGUGAUGCAAUUUUCUAAUUAACAUGACUCCUUAAGCACAAGUUUGAGGCCCUCCAUAGCUCCACUCUCAAGUGGGUUCUACAAUUUGACACUAUGCUGAGACUUUAAAUAUUAGGCACGAUAUUAGUAGCAGUAGAACCCGAUAUAAGAGGAUGGUGUCUCUCUCUGGUCUUUCGUUCGAUAUCUUUUACCCACUUAACCUCCCUACACAAUUACAAAUUUUUCCUACAAGUAACUAAUUUUUUCCUUAUCUUUUUCACAUCUCUUUUCAAUUUUAAGUAUAUGGUUGUAUCAUAUAUUUUACUAAAUCUUAGAUACCUUGUAUUAAAAUUAUUUAUUAACAUAACAACUGAGUAUAUGUACUGAUGAACCUUGUCAAUUUAUAGUCAUCUUUGAAUUUUUUGCCACUUAGAGGCCUGCCAGACUGGCAAAGAAGUUGACUCUAGCUUCUUUGUGGUCGCUUAGAGCAGUUAAGAAGAAUGUAAGAGGAAAUAUUAUGAAGUAAACAGUCACAUUUGAGAAUACAUUUUACUCGUCUUACAACAUUCAAGGUUAACUCUUAAUUCUAUUUAUUUCAUUCUGUCUCAAAUCUGUAAUGUACUUUUAUAGUUUUUGCAGUGUCACUAAAAUAUUAUGGCUUAAUCAAAUUUGAGAAGUGAGCAAUGGUAAUCAAUCAAAUUACGAACUGAGAUUAUUCCAAUGUUUGAUUAUGCCAUUCUAAUGGAUAUUGAACAUCAAUAUUAUAAGGAAACCGCAUGAUUAGGGGAUUCAGCAAUAAUCACUCUGUCAAUCACAUCUGCUAUAUACAGCAAAUUGAACUAAUUGUGUAUUCCUUCUUUAGCUCACUGUGUACUAUAUAAAGACAAGCACACUAGAAUGAUAUGCAAGCAUUUUCACGAGAUUUGUGUAAACAUUAUAUGGUAUCAAUUGGUUCUUCUCUCAUGAGAACAACAUGUUUUUCCAGCCUCCAUGUCGUCCCUCAGUGUUAAUUCCACUCUUCCUCCGGUGAAUAAAAAAACCUCAGAUUCCUCUGAACUUCCAUUGAUUGCCAUCAACACUUCUAGCCAAUUUCCAUACAAACUCACAUCCUCAAAUUAUCCUUCUUGGCGUGCAACUUUCUUGACCAUUCUCAUUGGAUAUGAUCUGAUGGGAUACCUGGACGGCACCAACAAGUGCUCUCCUA